ensembl:lncRNA
GGAAAUGGUACCAAGAAUCAACAAAUGCAAUCAUGCAAAUUAAAAAUCUUCUGCACAGGAAAAAACAGCAUAAAAAGACAACCUACAAAAUGGGAAAAAAUUUGCCAGCUAUUCCUUAGAGAACUACAUCUAGAAUAUAUUAGGAACUCAAAAAAAAAAUAGACCCUUCAAAAUAAAAUACCAUAUAUAACAUGGGCAAGUGAAAUGAAUAGAGACUUCUCAGCAGAAGCACAAACAUGUGAAUACAUAAGUGCUCAACAUCGCUGGCCAUUAGAGAAAAACAAAUUAAAACAAUAUACUGAGAUUCCAUCUCACCCCAGAAAGAAUGGCUAUCAUCAAGAAAUUAAAUAAUGGGCUGGGAAUUUAGCUCAGUGGCACUCCAUCUGCCUUGUAAGCUCAAAGUCCUGAGUUUGAUCCCCAGUACAAAAAAUAAAAUAAUAACAUGCUGGAGAGGCUGCAAGAAAGAAGUAACCCUUCUACACUGUUGAUGAAAAUAUAGAUUAGUACAACCAUCAUGGAAAUCAGUAUGGAGAUUCCUCAAAAAGCUUAAAACUAGAAAGACAUCAUAUUAUGCUGAUACAUGCAUAUCCCUGUUUAUAGCAGCACAAUUCAUAAUAACUAAAUCUUGGAAGCAGCCUAUAUGUCUACCAAUAGGCUAAUGCAUACAGAAAAUGUGGUACUUAGGAACAAUGGGGUACUACUCUGCUGUGAAGAAGGACAGACCUGAGUCAUUUGUAGGAAAAUGGAUGACCCUUGAGACCAUAAUGUUAAGUAAAAUAAACCAGACACAGAAGCUUAAACACCACAUGGUUUCUCUCAUAUAAGAAACCCAAAAUAUAAGUAAAAAGCAAAAUAAAAGAUCGAUGGUAGAAGGCAGAUAUUUCUCACACGCAAAGGAGAGCAAGAAAUGGAGGGAUGAGGCAGGAAGGGGAAGGGAAUGGAAGGAAAGUAAUUGUGUUGUACACAUAUCAGCUCCCCUCAGAGUGUAAGUAGACACUAUGUACUGCAAGCAUGUACUAAUAAAACAAUUUUUAAGUAGAAAUUAAAUGAGCACAUAAGUACAAUGCAUACAUUGCACAAAAUCGCUCUCCAUAAAUGUUUAUUGAAUAAAUGAAUGUUCAUACAGUGUUUUUUCUCCUUUAGAUUUUUUCAUAAUAUACCCAUAUAUAACUGGAUGCUUUUCCUGGCCUCCCUCCUUAGGGUGUGGCCUUUGUUGUAUAUCUUUUUCCAGCAGCUGGUUCAGUGCUCUACCCAGACUCGGGUAUUAAGCCUCCAGGCACUGGUUGAUUCGAGGCUAUUCAUGAUCUCAAGUAUUUACCAAAAGAUGUUAAUUUGACUUAGUUUUGAUCAAUAAUGCAAAGGUUGGAAACUCAGAUGCCUUUGGAGAGUCAGUAUUUAAUUAUCAGAUGUAUAGAGAAGGGUAAUAUAUAUAUAUUUUUUCUUGAAACCUAUACCCUUCCCAGGCUAUUUUAGUUCUUCCUACUUAAUACAGAGAGACAUGCUGGGACAUCUAGUUUACUGUAGCAAAAACAACAGGACAAUACACAAAAUGGCAGUUGGUGGUAUCACUGCCUGGCCUACAGUGGAGAAUGGCAGACAGUGGUGAGCCGGAAGUAGCUGCGAUUCUCAAGUGCAGGGCCUGAUAACAUCUACGGAGCAGGUGGCAUGAGUGGUAAAAGAACUUAGCAACAGACAGAAUACAGGAAAGGCGAGAUCCCUGAGUACUGUGUCCAGGACAGCAGGAACACCUGUGUUGUAACUAAAGUUGCACAUCAAACUUGGAAAUUAUCAAGGCCUCUUGCUUAGUCCUCAACAGAAGGCCCUUUAGAGUCCAACAAAGAUGUCCCCCUGAAGCCUCAUGCGGUGGCUGAAUCUGGAAUGUGUGAUGCUGGGAUUAAUGGUGUGUGAUCACUGAACCACUACACUGAUUGGCUUGGCACCACUCUAAUCCCGGCAGUCUGAAUAAGAUAAAAGAGGCAGAAAGAUGCUGUUAAAGUCCCUUGUUGCUUUUGCUAUGUUCCACCGCCAUGAACUGUGCCCCCUCUGCCAUGUGCCACCCCACCUUGGAGCCAGCCGAUUAUGGACUGAAACCUCUACAAACUGAG